rnacentral:rRNA from 1 species
UGGGGAAUAUUGCACAAUGGGCGCAAGCCUGAUGCAGCCAUGCCGCGUGUGUGAAGAAGGCCUUCGGGUUGUAAAGCACUUUCAGCGAGGAGGAAGGUGGUGAACUUAAUACGUUCAUCAAUUGACGUUACUCGCAGAAGAAGCACCGGCUAACUCCGUGCCAGCAGCCGCGGUAAUACGGAGGGUGCAAGCGUUAAUCGGAAUUACUGGGCGUAAAGCGCACGCAGGCGGUUUGUUAAGUCAGAUGUGAAAUCCCCGGGCUCGACCUGGGAACUGCAUUUGAAACUGGCAAGCUAGAGUCUCGUAGAGGGGGGUAGAAUUCCAGGUGUAGCGGUGAAAUGCGUAGAGAUCUGGAGGAAUACCGGUGGCGAAGGCGGCCCCCUGACGAAGACUGACGCUCAGGUGCGAAAGCGUGGGGAGCAAAACAGGAUUAGAUACCCUGGUAGUCCACGCUGUAAACGAUGUCGAUUUUGGAGGUUGUGCCCUUGAGGCGUGGCUUCCGGAGCUAACGCGUUAAAUCGACCGCCUGGGGAGUACGGCCGCAAGGUUAAAACUUAAAGGAAUUGACGGGGUCAUAGCUG